rnacentral:lncRNA from 1 species
CAGUCUUGGCUCCAGCCAAGUUGGGCCUGCCACACCCAGGAGAGCUCCGAGGAAGUGGGUGUGAGGUUUCCUCAGGAGAGACACAGCGUUCAGAAAGGUCCUUGAAUGCCCCUAGGGAGAAUGGCACUGUCCUAGCUUUAUGGGAGUUAAAGCUUUCAACCUAUGGGUGCUUUCAGUCUCCUAAGGCCAAUACAACUGAGAGACAACAGACACAGCAAAAGGCCUAGCAGCAGGUGCUGGGGGCGGGGACGGUGGGAGGGAAUGGAUGCUGAGGGUAGAUAAUGAACACUGAGCAAUCAAAAUGCCCCAACUGGACAGAGUGUGUAGAGAAAAACUGAGAAUACUCCUGGUCUGUCUGAAGUGGAAUGGAGGGCUGGUUGGGAAAGGAGGGUGGCCAAACUCAGAGGCCCAAUGAAGGUAUGGCUCAGCAUUGAGAAAUGUGAGGGAGGAAGCCUCUCUAGGGGAGGCAGGCAAGCAAGCAUUCAGGAAAGGCUGCCACUUCCAAUCCUGAGCAGCAUCCAUUGGGAGGUACACGUCCUGGGCUUUUAGAAUCUGGUGAGACUCAGGAGUAUCUGUCAGGAAGGAAGAAACACUUGAGGUGGAGCAGGAAAGCAGCUCCCCAUUAGGUUCAAAGGCAAAAAUGCUGCAAACCAUGAAGCAGCCAUUCCAGGACAGGGCAGCAAGAAAGGAAGACCCGGAAGGCUCCUGGGGAGGAAGCCAAAAACCUGACUGAGGGACCAGCAGGGGGCGCAGGAAUUUCUGACCCUUAGAGCCAUCAGAGGGGACCAUAGCUGACAAUGUGGCUAUGUCAGUUUCUGCCCCAUUACUCAUUCUAUUUCCCCAUCAGUCAUUCAGGUGGCUGAGCAGUUCUCAUCCACACAGACUCUGAUUUCGUACAGAGACGACAAACCUAGAACACACUUGCAGGCUUUCCUGUGCGUUCCUGUCGAAACCUGGGUGGGGAAGGUCUCAGGCUAAUCACACUCCAUUCUUUGACUUAAGAAGCCAUUUUUCUGGCCUUGAGACAGACUUACCACUGAGUCUUAUUUCAGCCGCAGGUCUACUUACUUGAUCGUGGCUUCCUGAAGAGCCUGUCCAUGCCUGGGGGAGGGGGCUGCCUCAUGGUAACCCCUACAACCUGACCCCGAUAGGUCAAACCCAGCAGUCCAUCUGAAAAUGCCAGACACAUCUGGCUGCGCUGUCACUUCCAUGGGGAAGGGAGUGGAGGCUCCAGAAGAGUCAAGAGCUGCCAUUUCUGAACUAACACCCAUAAAGGCAGCUUGGAGCAUGGAACUCCCAUGCCACCUAACACUGAAAGUUAGGCCAAGCCACAGCUAAAGUGAGUCUGUUUACUCGUGAGGCCUGACCUCCUCCAGCAUCAGUCACUCCGUGCUCCUUCUCCUGGGAAGGACUAGGUGA